ACCGAGCCCACGCGGGUCCGGUCGGAUCGGGCUGAGCGCUGCCCGCGGCCCCCGCAGGACGCUCCGGAGCUGGAGCCGCUGCCGAUGGGCCAUGCCCCAGCGCCGUGAGCAGCCCCGCGCUGGUGCCCCAGGAGCCGCAGCCCGGCCCGGCCAUGGACAGCUCAGAGCUGGAGUCGGACAUCCUGCGGCGGGUGCGGACGCUGCUGCGGGAGGUGGACGGGCACCACCCGUCCUGCCAGAGUGACCGAGGUGAGCACUGCCCAUGCCCGGGCACAG
rnacentral:lncRNA from 1 species